rnacentral:rRNA from 1 species
CAUGUCUUUUUGAGAAUAAUUUAAAGUCUAAUCUGCUCAAUGAAGAUUAAAUUGCCGCAGUAUUUUGACUGUGCAAAGGUAGCAUAAUAAUUAGCUUCUUAAUUAGAAGCUGGAAUGAAUGAUUGGACAAGAAAAUUUCUGUCUCUAUUUAAAUGUUUAUUGAAUUUUAUUUUUAAGUUAAAAAGCUUAAAUUUAUAUAAAAGACGAGAAGACCCUAUAGAGUUUAAUAUUUUUUAUUUAUUUAAUUUUAGAAUUUUUUUUGAAUUUUAAAUAUUUAAUUGGGGUGAUUUAAAGAUUUGAAUAAUUCUUUAAUUUUUUUAUUGAUGAUAAUUAAGUUUUAAAUCUAUAUUUUUAAAUUUAAUAUAAAUUACCUUAGGGAUAACAGCGUAAUUUUUCUUUAAAGCUCUUAUUAAAAGAAGAUUUUGCGACCUCGAUGUUGGAUUAAAAUUAAUUUUUGGUGCAGUAACUUAAAAAUUGGGUCUGUUCGACCUUUAAAAUUUUACAUGAUCUGAGUUUAAACCGGUGUAAGCCAGGUUGGAUUCUAUCUUUAGAUUAAUUACAUAUUUUAGUACGAAAGGACCAAAUAUUUAUUAUAAUAAUUG